CCCGAAAACUAUUUAGGUAGUGCCUCAUGUAUGGCUCCAGGGGGUAGAGCACUGUCAUCAUUGCGGGGGUCAUUGCGAUUUACCGCGUGAUAGCAAACUCCGAAUACCUGGAAGUCUGAGCGUGGGAGACAGUCCUCGGGUGCUAACGUCCGAGGUCGAGAGAGAAACAACCCAGACCGACCGUAUCGUGACUGGGAAACGAAGUGGGAAGGCAUAGACAGCUAGGAGGUUGGCUUAGAAGCAGCCACCCUUUAAAGAAAGCGUAAUAGCUCACUAGUCGAGUCGUCCUGCGCGGAAGAUGUAACGGGGCUCAAACCACGCGCCGAAGCUGCGGAUACGUGCUUGCACGUAUGGUAGGAGAGCGUUCGGUAAGUCUGUGAAGGUGGCUCGUAAGGGCUGCUGGAGAUAUCCGAAGUGCGAAUGCUGACAUGAGUAGCGAUAAAACGAGUGAAAAGCUCGUUCGCCGAAAGCCCAAGGUUUCCUGCGCAACGUUCAUCGGCGCAGGGUGAGUCGGCCCCUAAGGCGAGGCUGAAAAGCGUAGUCGAUGGGAAAUCGGUCAAUAUUCCGAUACCUUUCUUGAAUGCGAUGGGGGGACGGAGAAGGUUAGGUCAGCCGGGUGUUGGACGUCCCGGUUUAAGCGUGUAGGCGGAUCCCUUAGGCAAAUCCGGGGGGCCAACGCAGAGGCGUGAUGACGAGCAGACAAGUCUGCGAAGUGACUGAUACCAAGCUUCCAGGAAAAGCCUCUAAGCUUCAGUUCAAGAAAGACCGUACCGCAAACCGACACAGGUGGGCAGGGUGAGAAUCCUAAGGCGCUUGAGAGAACUCGGGUGAAGGAACUCGGCAAAAUUGCACCGUAACUUCGGGAGAAGGUGCGCCCCGGUAGGUUGUAGUCCCUCGCGGACGAAGGCCGAUGGGGUUGCAGUGAAAUGGUGGCUGCGACUGUUUAAUAAAAACACAGCACUCUGCAAACACGAAAGUGGACGUAUAGGGUGUGACGCCUGCCCGGUGCCGGAAGGUUAAAUGAUGGGGUGCAAGCUCUUGAUUGAAGCCCCGGUAAACGGCGGCCGUAACUAUAACGGUCCUAAGGUAGCGAAAUUCCUUGUCGGGUAAGUUCCGACCUGCACGAAUGGCGUAACGAUGGCCACACUGUCUCCACCCGAGACUCAGCGAAGUUGAAAUGUUUGUGAAGAUGCAAUCUCCCCGCGGCUAGACGGAAAGACCCCAUGAACCUUUACUGUAGCUUUGCAUUGGACUUUGACGGGACUUGUGUAGGAUAGGUGGGAGGCUUUGAGACCAGGACGCCAGUUCUGGUGGAGCCGUCCUUGAAAUACCACCCUGGUGUCGUUGAGGUUCUAACCUUGGCCCGUGAAUCCGGGCCGGGGACCGUGCAUGGUAGGCAGUUUGACUGGGGCGGUCUCCUCCCAAAAGGUAACGGAGGAGCACGAAGGUGCGCUUAGUGCGGUCGGACAUCGCACUGAAUCUGCAAUGGGAAAAGCGUGCUUGACUGCGAGACUGACAAGUCGAGCAGGUGCGAAAGCAGGUCAUAGUGAUCCGGUGGUUCUGUAUGGAAGGGCCAUCGCUCAACGGAUAAAAGGUACUCUGGGGAUAACAGGCUGAUUCCGCCCAAGAGUUCACAUCGACGGCGGAGUUUGGCACCUCGAUGUCGGCUCAUCACAUCCUGGGGCUGUAGCCGGUCCCAAGGGUAUGGCUGUUCGCCAUUUAAAGUGGUACGUGAGCUGGGUUUAAAACGUCGUGAGACAGUUUGGUCCCUAUCUGCCGUGGGCGCUGGAAGUUUGAGGGGGCCUGCUCCUAGUACGAGAGGACCGGAGUGGACGAACCUCUGGUGUAUCGGUUGUCACGCCAGUGGCAUUGCCGGGUAGCUAAGUUCGGAAGAGAUAAACGCUGAAA
rnacentral:rRNA from 1 species